GGAUGUGAGGACGAUCUGCCUGUAACUUCUGUCACCCCAUUGAUCACCAGGGUUAAUUCGGCUGAUCUGGCUAGCUAGGUGGGUGUCCCCUUCCUCCCUCAACACUCCAUGUGCAUCUCUCCUGAAACUGCACACUGGGUCGAAGAGGACGACCUUCCCUAAUAGAGGAGGACCAGUGUUCAGUCAAGGGUAUAUGAGUAGUUGCACUUCCCAGCUAGAACCUCCAAACAAGCUCUCAAGACAUUAUCUUCAAUGUGACUUGGCAUUUGUGGGCCAUAAAUAUUAAAAUGGAUUGCAUACAUAAUAAUGAUCACAUAGAAAAAUACAAUGCAUU
rnacentral:snRNA from 1 species